GUAUCAGUGAGGUAUAUCCUUACCUGUUACCUUAGAGAUAAGGUUUCAGAACAUGAUGAUUGGAUUCUAUGAAUAUGUGAUUAUGUUCCGUAUUUUUUAUGGGAAUGCAACCCCAUAAUGAAUCCUGUCUGAC